CUCAAAGUGGGAGUUCAUAGAGCCCACAUUUAACAAUUUCCAACAAUAAUAAGCUAUCCAUAAGCAUAAUCAAGCUCUUAAGUGUAAGUUAGCCUUCAUUGAACUAGAUUUGAAGAGUGGAUCAUGGUUACCUUACUUGUGUGCUAAAAGGUCAGAUUCUGGUGUCCAAAAGUCCCAAGAAAAACCGUGAGUGUGCAGCUCUUUCUUUGUCCAAGUGAUUGUCCAAGUGAUGAGCUAAACGUAUGUGAAGUUUUGGUUGAAUCUAUGGAGGUUUGGUAGUGAUUUUUGUGAGCUUUGCAGAAGGAAAUGGUGAAGAGCUGCGGCUGCAAGCUAUCCGUCCAUUGCAGCUAAAAGAACUGAAAUGUGGUUCUGAUUCCUUUCCGU
rnacentral:lncRNA from 1 species